UACGGGGGGAGCAAGCGUUGUUCGGAUUUACUGGGCGUAAAGGGCGCGUAGGCGGCCAGCACAAGUCAGUUGUGAAAUCUCCGGGCUUAACUCGGAAAGGUCAACUGAUACUGUGCGGCUGAGAGUGCAGAAGGGGCAACUGGAAUUCUCGGUGUAGCGGUGAAAUGCGUAGAUAAUCGAGAGGAACACCUGCGGCGAAGGCGGGUUGCUGGGCUGACACUGACGCUGAUGCGCGGAAAGCCAGGGGAGGCGAAACGGG
rnacentral:rRNA from 1 species